rnacentral:tRNA from 1 species
GCGGGGGUAGCUCAAUGGAUAGAGUAUCGUACGGUGCUUUUCUUGGUUAGCAGCCCGGAACACCUGAAGAUAGGGGUUCGAAUCCCCUUCCCCGCC